GUUAUAGGGAAAGAGGAACAAAACAUUGCUGGAGUGUCCCUGUGAGAACAAGAGACAACAAGACAACAAAGUGAGACUUGACUUACUCUCAGAGACCCCCCCUUCCUUGGAGUCAGGGCCAGCAAAUUCUUAGAAAUUAAACCGGCUAUGUGCUCUCAUAGCACAAGCAAGCCAAAUGACAUGGUAGCAGCAAGCAAAAAAGAAAUGUAUUUUUUAAUUGUUUAUUUGUUUAAAUUUUAUUUCAAUCACCUUAGGAGUACAAGUGGAUUUUUGGUUACAUGGAUGAGUUGUGGCAUGGUGAAUUCUGGGCUUUAAGUGUACCUGUCACUCAAAUAGUGUAUGUUGUACCCAAUCGGUAAUUAAAAAUGAAAUAUAUUUUUAAAACAUUUUCCCUGUGAGAAGCUUGAAUAAAUCAAAACACAAACAAUUCGUGUCAGAAUUGUUCUCUAGCACAAAAGGGAUUUGCCAGAUAUGAAGGUAGGUCACUUUCUGGAGAUGGG
rnacentral:lncRNA from 1 species